CACGGCCAAUUAAGCUUGGUCUGU
rnacentral:siRNA from 1 species